UAGUCCUACGGGGGGCAGCAGUAAGGGAUAUUGGUCAAUGGGGGAAACCCUGAACCAGCAACGCCGCGUGAGGGAAGACGGUCCUAUGGAUUGUAAACCUCUUUUGUCGGGGAGCAAAAGACGCCACGCGUGGCGUUCCGAGAGUACCCGAAGAAAAAGCAUCGGCUAACUCCGUGCCAGCAGCCGCGGUAAUACGGAGGAUGCGAGCGUUAUCCGGAUUUAUUGGGUUUAAAGGGUGCGCAGGCGGAAGAUCAAGUCAGCGGUAAAAUUGAGAGGCUCAACCUCUUCGAGCCGUUGAAACUGGG
rnacentral:rRNA from 1 species